AACCAUUGAAAAUUAGUCUUUUAUUUUCCAAUUUAAAACCUUUCUAUUGAGUCGAAAUCAGAUUGAAAUCGGCAAAUUGCCGGGCUAGCCUAGUCAACAAACUAGAGUCCACUUCUCGAGCUAGCCGGGCUUGGUCCAGGAACGAAAAUCUCAGGCCCUAUUAAGCCAGACCCAGUUGCUCUGUCUACUAGUUUCUGCUUGCAGAUUUGCUUCCUUCCUGGAACCACGAAUUGAUACAGGAGCUGCAAGUGAUGAAUAGAAGUAAUCGAACAUGAUUCUAGUUCUAUUACCAAAGCUAGGCCAGGAAAUGUUAUCCCCUCAAAGGGCUCUAAGAACAUCAGUUAUACAAUGUAAUUGUAAAUAAUCGUCCACUGGAUCAGCAGGUUCCUCUUACAAUGAUGCUUGUAGGUUUCUGUGUCCUGGAGAGAUACAAUUCUAAAAUGCUCAUGCUCUUCCAAGAAAGAAAGCAAGAGCAAUUAUAUAUGUUCCACCGUUGUCCUACACUGGAAGUCUUAGUCAUUGUUCUUCAAGAAAGAGCAAACACACUCUUGUGAUCUCUAACCUUCUCAACCUUGAUGAUAGACCAAGCAAUAAUCAUUACAAGAUCAUACAACAACAGAACGGUAAAAAUGCUGAAUUGAGAAUCAAGCUUAACUUUUGAACGUUCGUGAGCCAUCUGUGACGAAAAUGUUUUCUCCUCAGAAGUGAUAAUGCUGGCAAGAUUAUUUCACUAUUAUGCUCUUCAAAAUUAGUCCAUGGACAGCACACCGUUCAAUGAAUUUAGCAAAUGGCAUUGGUUUAUCGAUUAAAAUUUGAUGUUGUCCUUUAAGUAACACACAAUCUCUUGAAUCAAACAAAGGAUAAUGCAUCCAGUAGCACCAGGGAACAAAGCAUACCAAAGAUUCAAGUGGUGAAGCUUAACUCCAUCGAUGAACAGAAGUGGCAAGCUUGCAGCAGGAGGGUGCGUAGCACGCGUGUAGAUCAUGAAAGCUAAUGAAGCAGCAAGGGCAGCACUCCUAGCAAGCCAACCGGGACCAAAUAUUGAGAAGGCCAGAACGCCAAUGGCUGCACAGCCAACCUGGGCCAUGAACAUAUUGUAUUUCCGAGCAGCAGGGGAGGAAGGACUGGCGAGGAGGACGGCAGAAACAGCUCCUAAGGGAGCAAUUGUCAUGGAAAAUCCUUUUGGCGCCAGUAUUUGGUCCAUCUUUCCGAAUAUUGCCAUUGCUGCAAAUGCACCUGCAGAGGGCCAGAUGAUGUCGCUGAAAGAAGGUACAGAAGAAGUCUUCUCUGGCUUCCAAGCAUCCCAGAAGGGUGCGGCCACGUUGCUUGAUGCCACAAUCCCAUGUUUUCUCUUCCUUUCUCUACGACAACUCAACCUAAUAGAUCUCUCAAAUGUGGUCCUCUUGAUUUCAAGCAACGGAGAAAGCGAUGAGGGAAAGAAGAGCAGAGACGUUGACAUUGAUGGUAUCGGCAGUGUUGGUGUGAUACAACAUUUAGCAGGGACCUGCAUCCCCAUUUUCUAAUAAUUAGAUUCACCAAUUCCCUUCAAGUUUUUUUUGUAGUUGAGACUAUCUCCAUUCUCACCUCCUGUACAAAAUACAAAUAUAUGGAGAGGGAAAGAAAUGAUGGGCUUUUG
rnacentral:misc_RNA from 1 species